GGGGCGGGGAGGGGGCGCAGGCCCGCGCGCCCCCGCCUCCCGCGCCCCAUUGUUCCCGGCGGCCGUCCCGGGCCCUCCGGGCCACCCCCCAGGAACCCAGGCGUCCCCAACUCACGGCUCUGGGGUCUGGGGAAGGCCGGAAGGCAGAAUCCAGCCCCAGGGGACUUAACCCCUUGAAUGCCCUGACUCGGGGGCCGGGCUGGACGCCGAGGACUCUGGGGUCCUUCUCAAGGGGUGAUCCCAGGCUGAGGACCCGGGGACCAGUUCAGGGUGACUGGGACGGAGCAGGAAGUGACCCCAGCUUCCCGGGCCCCUCUAGCCUGGAGUCAGAGCAUCAGCUCUAUGGGAUUUAACCCUUUGCCUCCCGCAGCCUGGGAAAAAAGAGGACGGGGAGCAGAGAGGUGGCCGAGACGACGCCCCUCUCUCUGUCUCCAGCGGGAGCGGGGCCUCCGGGGGAGCCCAGAUGCUAGUGGGGGGGUCUCUGGAUUGCUGGCCACUAUCCAUCUCGGAGGGGCUCUACCGGCCACUCCCGGAAAGCCCCAUUUCCGAUUUGGUGGCUGCUGGUCACCCGGGGGCCUGCCUUUGUUGGGACUCAGACCCAGGGUUGGGGCUCAGAUGCCUGGGUUGUAGGGUGGGAGCACGACAGGUGCCGACAGGGAACAGCCUACAGACUAGAAAUGGCUUAAAUGGAGUAGUAAGUCCAGGCAACUAGAGUUUGGGCUGAGGGGACAAGCCCAGCUGGGAGGGAUUUGCAGCCUGCCUUGCCUCUUCCCCGUUAGCCCCCUCAGAGCUGCCUUGGUGGCUGGAGGGAAGUUGGGUGGGGGUGUCCCUGCCCUGGGGGGGGGGGGGGCUUUCCCAGCCACUCAGGGGCACCUGGCUCAGAGCAGGAGAAGCCUUUCAAAUCCCAAGGCCCAGGUGACCUAGGCUCCCAAUUUUUAUAGCCUUUAUCUCAUCCCUCCCCACCACAAUCUGAGACCAUCCGCAUUUUACAGGAGGGGAAACUGAGUUGUGAGAAGUGAGGUAACUCACUUAAAGGCCAGGUCGUUACUGCCAUUGCCCAUAUUUGUCUGGUGAAGCCCGGGCAGUGCGGGGAGCACGGUGGUGGAGAGAUCUCCCAGGGGAACAGGAAUUGAGCUUUCUAUCCUUAAGAUCUCAAGAAGUUUGACAGUGUGGAAGCUAUAGACACAGGAGAGUCACAGGAGAAAGUGAAGGGGACUAGCUGUCCAGGGACGCGAGGGAGCAAGCCCAGGAACAAACCGUGUGUCACACAUUGCUGAAGAGGAUUCGGUCCCUCUGGGCUACAUCUGGGGUGCAGAGAGUGUGGUCACCAGGAGAAGAGGGGCCCCGGGUCCUGCCUCUGCUCGCUUCUCUGUCUCCUUCACCCACCUUCCCGUCCAGGCACGUGCCCCUCUUAUCUCUGGCUCCCUCACCUGUGAUUCCUUACUCUCACCUCAGGGCCUUGGCCCUUCCUGGCCUCCCCUUCUCUGCUCUGUUUCUCACAGCACAGCAGGCAGCAAACCCCAACAGAACGUUUGCGAGUUUGCCGUCUGUGUGCACCUGUGCCUCCCUCACACGCAUACGCACACCGCACACCGUCACGUCAGCACCACCAGGGGAAGGGCUUGGUCUCUUGGCUUCCCUGCUGUCUCCCCAGCUCCUGGAACAGUGCCCAGCAUGUAGUAGGUGCUCAGUUCACUCAACGCGUGGGAUGAAGUCCUUCUCCUGCCUCCUCCAUCCAUUUCUGGAUCAACCCCCAGGCGGGACAGAUGUGGCCAAGUCAGUCACACAGAGAGAGGAGAGAGGCUAAGACACAGGCAGAGAGAGAAGCAGGCUCCAUGCAGCGGGAGCCCAACAUGGGAUUCGAUCCUGGGUCUCCAGGAUCGCGCCCUGGGCCAAAGGCAGGCACCAAACCGCUGUGCCACCCAGGGAUCCCUGUUACUAAGUAUUUUCAUGAAGGUGUGAACUGAAGUAGCUCUGUCAUCACGUGUCUGGGCCUCAGUCACCUCAUCUGCAAAAUGACACUUCAGAUCAAAUGUUCUCAACGGUUUGUUCUGAUCCAAGUCACAUUAAAUUAAAUUCAACUGAUUUCCUACCCAUAUGUUACGCGUGGACUAACCUUCAAGAGAGGUCCCCAUUCCCCCUGGAACAGAUGCUCUACUGCAGCCUAAGCAUGGGAAAGGAGAUUGAAGACAGAUGGAAGAGAGGAUUAUAUUGUCACACACGGUUACAAUACUUAAAAAAAAAUCGAGGCAGUUAUCCUCACCUUUUUAUUCAUGAGGGAACAGGACUUCAGACAGGCAACAUGUUCCAGUCACAGAGCAUCCAUGAGAACUUGGGAUCCAUAGGUCUUGGAUUUUCUGACUGCGAGUCUGAGACUUCCCUCAUUCAGAAUCCAGCUAAAUUCCUCCUCUUCUCUCCUAAACUACAUCGUCUCCUAGAGAACCAUCCUCAGCUUUUGUCACAAACUGACUGCAGGGAUUCCUAUGUUUUACUAGCCAACUUGGCCACAUCUGGGUACCCUGUAUGGUGUUGAUAUUUUUCUUCAGUUCAGUGUGUUUGUCUUCACUGAAAGAAACAUAUCUGAGAAGGAAACUCAAUAUCAGUGUGAUAAAUAGAAAAUUGCUUGUUGGGCAGCCCGGGUGGCUCAGUGGUUUAGCGGCCCAGGACCUGAUCCUGGAGACCCUGGAAUCAAGUCCCAUGUCGGGCUCCCUGCAUGGAGCCUGCUUCUCCCUCUGCCUGUGUCUCUGCC